AACCUCAUUGACCGGAAGGGAUCCCUUCCAGUCAAUGAAGUAUAACAACCUCAUUGACUGGAAGGGAUUCCUUCCAGUCAAUGAAGUA
rnacentral:miRNA from 1 species